AUUGAACGCUGGCGGCAUGCUUUACACAUGCAAGUCGAACGGUAACAGGCCGCAAGGUGCUGACGAGUGGCGAACGGGUGAGUAAUGCAUCGGAACGUGCCCAGUCGUGGGGGAUAACGCAGCGAAAGCUGCGCUAAUACCGCAUACGAUCUAUGGCUGAAAGCGGGGGACCGUAAGGCCUCGCGCGAUUGGAGCGGCCGAUGUCAGAUUAGGUAGUUGGUGGGGUAAAGGCUAACCAAGCCGACGAUCUGUAGCUGGUCUGAGAGGACGACCAGCCACACUGGGACUGAGACACGGCCCAGACUCCUACGGGAGGCAGCAGUGGGGAAUUUUGGACAAUGGGCGCAAGCCUGAUCCAGCAAUGCCGCGUGCAGGAAGAAGGCCUUCGGGUUGUAAACUGCUUUUGUACGGAACGAAACGGUCCUGGUUAAUACCCGGGGCUAAUGACGGUACCGUAAGAAUAAGCACCGGCUAACUACGUGCCAGCAGCCGCAGUAACAC
rnacentral:rRNA from 1 species